AUGGGCGGAAGCCUGAUGCAGCAACGCCGCGUGCGGGAUGACGGCCUUCGGGUUGUAAACCGCUUUCACCCAUGACGAAGCGCGAGUGACGGUAGUGGGGGAAGAAGCACCGGCCGACUACGUGCCAGCAGCCGCGGUGAUACGUAGGGUGCGAGCGUUGUCCGGAAUUAUUGGGCGUAAAGAGCUUGUAGGCGGUUGAUCGCGUCGAUAGUGAAAUCCCGGGGCUCAACCUCGGGCUUGCUGUCGAUACGGGUUGACUUGAGGAAGGUAGGGGAGAAUGGAACUCCCGGUGGAGCGGUGGAAUGCGCAGAUAUCGGGAAGAACACCGGUGGCGAAGGCGGUUCUCUGGACCUUUCCUGACGCUGAGAAGCGAAAGCGUGGGGAGCAAACAGGCUUAGAUACCCUGGUAGUCCACGCUGUAAACGGUGGGUACUAGGUGUGGGUCGCAUUCCACGUGAUCCGUGCCGUAGCCAACGCAUUAAGUACCCCGCCUGGGGAGUACGGCCGCAAAGCUAAAACUCAAAGGAAUGGACGGGGCCCCGCACAAGCGGCGGAGCAUGCGGAUUAAUUCGAUGCGACG
rnacentral:rRNA from 1 species